rnacentral:rRNA from 1 species
CUCUAUCCACGAAAGUUGUACUUUUCUUAGUACGAAAGGACCAGAAAAGUAGUGCCAUUUUUAAAAAAAAGCACUAAAAAAAC